AAACGUUCUCUCUCCCAAGGGAAGUCAGUCUUUUGCUCAUGGACAUCAGCUGAUUGGAUGAGGCCUACCCACGUUAUAGACAGUAAUCUGCUUUACUGCAAGUCUAUGGAUUUCAAUGUUAAUCUCAUCUAAAAAAUACCUUCCCAGUAAGAUCCAGAUGCAUUUGACCAAAUAUCUGAGUACUGUAGCCUAGGCAAAUUUAACAUAUAAAAUCAACGACCACACCUGUAUCUACUUUACUAUAAUAUCAGGUACAUUCUAAAAUAUAUGCAUUACAUACAUAUACAAAAAUAUUUUAGAAGAAUAAAAUUAUGAAACAAAAAGAAAAUGCUAAUGCUUUCUUCUUAACUUGCAGUGAGUUCUUUUGUGCAUUCCAUGAAAUGUGUGCAGUCUACAGGAGUCCCUGCUAGAUAGACUGGAGAGCCAUCACAAGGAAUUACAGAAUUAAACACAUGUAAUUGUUAUCUGUCUCAUUGCAGAGCUGGGAUUCGAGGCAGGAAUACAAAUCAGGAAAAAACAAUAGAGCAGAAAAGAGAAGUUUGGCAUCUGACUCAAGGUUGCAGCAACGGCAUGAAAUCUGCUCGCUCUGACCCUGGAAAUGCCCAGCUGGAGAACUGGUGUGCAUUUGUGAUGUCUGGGUGGACCAGCUGGGUAACAUCACCAUGCCUGUGCAUAGAGAAGGAAUGAUUCUCCCUCUUCCCUUUCACUGUAUCCAGAGUCUGCUAAUGAGGUCCAGAGGACUGACUGCAGAGCCCAUUUUUCCUUUGUAGGAGGCACAUAUGGUACAAUUAUAAAUUACCCAUACCCAAGCCAAAUACACACACACACACACAGAUUAAAUGUAAGCAGUUAAUGAAACAAACAUAUGAAUUAUAGCAGACAUCAAAGUAUCUCUUUUUCAGGGUUACCAUUUUGGAUUACCAUCUAGCCCAUUAGAUGUUUGCUGAAUAAAUUCAGACCAGUGUUAACCAAUAAAAUACAUAUCUACAUGAAUUAGAUGGUGGUCCAAUAUAAUAUUUUCUAUUAAGUAGUGAAUUGUCUUCUUUUAGAUAUUUUGAAAUUAAUGUCCUCUUUAUCACCUGCUAAAUCUGUAUGUUUUUGUUUAAACACAAUGGAACAAUUCAACAAGGUAUUAUAAGAUUUCAUCUAGUGAGGAUAAAAGCUGUUUAGAAAGCAUGACUUAAAAUUUCUCAAAGCUGUUUACUGUCUUGCCUAAAUUAUGCAGACAGAGCUUAUAUAUUAGGGCCUUUGGAUCUUUAGAUUGGAAACAUUUUCAGAUUUAGAAAAGCUUCAUUGUUUAGUUUGAACUUUUCCAUUUAAAAUAAUCAGAGGUGAAUGGGAAACAUAAUCCUCUUACUAAUGUGUUUUUUUAUGAGUGAAUGCUGAGAAACUUAACAUAAAGAUGCAAUCUGAAAAAAAGAAAUAGAAAAGAACUUUCUCACUUUCACUUAAUUACUAAUAAAAAAUUAUAAAAUAUAAAGCCUAAUGUUUAGUGUCAUCUCUUAUUGGAAUAUGUCAGCUUCCCCAGAGACAAUGCAUUGCCACAAGUAGCUAUUUGAAACAAAUCUUUCUGUGAUAUCUGAAGACACUCUUCUGCAAGGCUCUCUCUUCAAGAGUUUCAAAGCAGCACUUUCCCAACCCUCUGUGCAUCCAGCUAAACAAAGCAAGCAAAGGACUAUUUCUCUUUGACUUAUAUUUUACUCGUUAGUCAUUUUGUAUCAUUAUAAUUCUGAAAUAAAAUAAGCCUUAAGAGAAAAAAAUCCACCACAUAUUUUAUAUUAAAUGUUCAUUCAUGAGCUAAUCUUAGCUAGCUGUUCCUUUGAAACCACAAUGCAGUCUUAAAAUCAUUUAAACUGUUACUAAUUUAGCAGUUGUACAGUGAUGGAUUUUUCAGGUUGCUUACAUAUAGA
ensembl:lncRNA